UCUUAGUCUCGCUAACUCCUCCGAAGAUUGGGGAAAGAGGUCCUGGAGGCGAGGUUACCAUUGCAAUAAAUAUCGUGGACCCAAAGAGUUUUGCAGAAAAGUGAUUUAUUAGAGAGAGAAGAAAGACAGCUCCUACGCUAUCAUUCCAGGAGACCUAGAGAAGGUAAGGAGCAGCUGAAUUUUAACCCUUGAGUUAUUCCUGCCCUUUCAUGUUCUUGUCCAAUGAGAGGAGUUCUUUCAACUGCCUCUGGAGUGAUUGAUCUUUGACUCUGACAUUGGAUUGGCUACUUGGUCCACGACUGAGAGUUACAGAGCCCCCUCCUCCCGGAGCUUUCCACGGGUUUCUUGGGACAAUAGAGCCCACCUGGCUUUCCCCAGCUAGCGGGCAAGUGGAGAAACCCAGACAAAGAACUUUACAUUUGAAACCCCUCUGCUUCCUAGAUGAAGACGUGGAGGCUGGGAAACUCCUGCCUUUGAAACCAAGCCUCUUGGACCCAGGAAGAGUCUGGUUCCCGGAUGGAGGCAUGGAGCCAUGGAGAAGUCCCUGUAGGUACAGUAGACCCUUGAACAACAUGGGUUUGAACAUCGUGGGUUCGAUUAUAGUCAGAUUUUCCUCUGCCUCAGCUACCCCUGAGACAAUAAGACCAAUCCCUCCUCUUCUUCCUCCUCGGUUUCUUCAACAUGAAGAUGACAAAGAUGAAGACCUUUAUGAUGAUUCGUUACCACUUAAUGAACGAAAUUAACAAGUUGAUCCUCAAGAAAAUGUGAAGUAACAAGAGACUCCAAAAAAUCAAAACAAUAUUGAUAAAGAACAAAGAGAACAUACAUAUCCUGAUUUCAAAACGUACUGUAAGACUUCUGUAAUAAAGUCAGUGUGGUACUGGCAUAAAGACGACAUAUACAUCAAUCAAAGAGAAAUGAGGGUCCAGAACUGAAACACUUUUUUUUUUUUUUUCUGAGAUGGAGUUUCGCUCUUGUUGCCCUGACUGGAGUGCAAUGGCGUAAUCUCCGCUCACCGCAACAUCUGCCUUCCAGGUUCAAGCGAUUCUCCUGCCUCAGCCUCCCAAGUAACUGGGAUUACAGGCAUGCGCGACCACGCCCAGCUAAUUUUGUAUUUUUAGUAGAGACGAGGUUUCUCCAUGUUGGUCAAUCCCUACUUUUACUGGCAACUGACUUCAAAAGUAGUGCUGAGACAAUUCAAUGUAGAAGGAACGCUUUUCAGUAACUACUACUGAGGCAAUGGGAUAUUCACAUGCCAAAGAAUAAAGUUGUAUAUCAAUCUCAACCCUGUAUAAAAGUUGACUCAAAAUGAAUUAAUGAAUGAAAAAAAUUCUAAAACUAUAAAAAUCUUAAAACAGAUAUAUGUCUUUGUGACCCUGGAUUAGCUAAUAGUAUUUUAGAUAUGACACUCAAAGCACAGAAACAAAAGAAAAAAGAUAAAUUGGACUUCAUCAAAACUAAAAACUUUAAGCAUAAAAGGACACUAUUGAGAAAUUGAAAAGACAAUCCACAGAAUGAAGAAAAACACUUGCAAAUAUAUAUAUAUAUAUAUAUAUAUUUCAUGUUCAUGAUUUUUUCUCUCCCCACUUGAGAAAUAUUCUUUAAAAUUUUUGAUCAUUUUUAUUGACUAUAUAUCAAUGUGAGUAAUACCUCAAUAAAAAUGUUUAUAUCAAAAAUUCACAGAAGGAGGGAAGGAGUUCACGUAUUUCAUAUACUAUGAAAUCUACCCAUUUAAAACAUGCAACACAAUGAUUUUUUAGUAUAUUUGCAGAACCAUGGAACCAUAACAUCUCUAAUUUUAGAAAAUCUUUGUUUUUCCUAAAGGAAACACUUGUAUCCAUUAUCAGUCAUUCCCCAACUGCCCACACUACUUUUCCAACCCUACUAAUCUACUUUUUGUGUUUUUUCUGAAAAAAAAAAAAAUUAUAUAUAUAUAACAAGAAUUUGAAUGAAUAUAUAUAUUUGACAGUUUAGUAUACAGAAUAUAUAAAUGACUUACAAAUCAUCAAUAAAAAAUUCAAUUUUAAAAUGAGUAAAUGCUUUAAACAGACAUUUCUACAAAGAAAUAUACAAAAGAACAAUAACCAAAUGAAAUACACUCAGCAUCAUUACUUCUUAGGGAAAUGCAAAUCCACACCACAAUGAGAUACCAGUUCACCCUCACUAGGAUGGCUGUAAUUUUUAAGAAAGAAAAACAAGCAGUUUUGUUAGAGACAUGGAGAAAUUAGGAUUCUUAUACAUUGCUGGUUCCCAGAACAUUGGAAAACUGAGGCAGUUGCUUUGGAAAACAGUUUGAUAGUUCCUCAGAAAGUUAAACACAGUUAUCACAUGAUCCAGCAAUUCCACCUUAAGGUAUUUACCUGAGAACUAAAAACAUACGUUCACACAAAAAAUAUAUGCAAAUGUUCACAGUAGCAUUACUCGUAAAAGCCUAAAAGUGGAAACAACCCAAAUGUCCAUCAACUGAUAAAUGGAUAAAUAAAAUACGGUAUAUUCAUACAAUGGAAUAAUAGCCACAGAAAGAAUGAAGUACUGACAUGCUACAACAUGAAUGAACAUUGAAAAUUUCAAGUGAAAGGAGCCCAUCACAAAAGGCCAUAUAGUAUAUUAGUCCAUUUAUAUAAAAUAUCCAGAAUAGAGGAAUCAGGAAAAAAGACUGAAAGUAGAUUAGUAGGGUUGGGUAAAUUGGUUGGGGAGUUGGGGAAUGAGUGAUAAUGGAUACAAGUGCUUCUUUCAGGAAAAAUGAAAAAUUUCCAAAAUUAGAGUUUUGUUAUGGUUCCACAAGUCUGGGAAUAUAUUAAAAGUCAAUGAGUUGUAUGCUUUAAAUGGGUGAAUAUCAUAGCAUAUGAAAUAUAUGAACUCCUUCCCUUUCAUGAAUUAAUUGCUUUGAUAGAAC
ensembl:lncRNA